UCCUUCUCUAAAUUUAUCCAUAUAUAUGCUGAAGUUUUUUAUUGGUGAAAAUUAUGCUGAAUAAUCAUUAGUGUUGCACUUCUCUACAUGUCAAAUCUAUCUGCCUUUGAAACAAUUAAGUAAACUAUCAUUGACUUGUUUAUUUAUAUAAAUAAAUAGGGCCUUAUGAUUUGUAGAUUAUAAAUUACACCUUUUUAGACGGAUCAU
rnacentral:lncRNA from 1 species